AACGAACGCUGGCGGCAUGCCUAACACAUGCAAGUCGAACGGGACCUUCGGGUCUAGUGGCGCACGGGUGCGUAACGCGUGGGAACCUGCCCUUAAGUUCGGCAUAACUCCCCGAAAGGCGUGCUAAUACCGGCUCAUGUCUUCCGACCAAAGGUUUAUCGCCUUUGGAUGGGCCCGCGUUGGCUUAGCUAGUUGGUAGGGUAAAAGCCUACCAAGGCGACGAUCCAUAGCUGGUCUGUGAGGAUGAUCAGCCACACUGGUACUGGGACACGGCCGAGACUCCUACAGGAUGCAGCAAUGGCUAAUAUUGGACAGUGGGCUAAAUGCUGAUGGAGCAAGGCCGCGUGAGUAAUGAAGGUUGUGGGGAUGUAAAGCACUUUUACCCGGUAUUAUAAUGACAUUACCAGGAGAAUAAGCUCCGGCUAACUCCGUG
rnacentral:rRNA from 1 species